CGUUAUUUCACUAACAUUUUCCCUCAAAACUCUCUAUCUGUAUCUUCACAUAUCGCUAGAAACAUUUCCCAAUCAGCUUCAACAUUCAUUUUCUUCGUUCGAAUUAUUUGUUGUUGAUGAUUCGACGCGCUUCUGAGCGCUUGAAGAAGAAUGCAAUUGUUAUGGUAAUAAUGAUGCAGAGGAACUUCAAUCGAUGAGAAAAGGGGGUUAGGGUUUGGAGAAUUAAUGCUUGGAGUGAGGUGUAGGAUAGGCUUUCCAAGAACGGUUUUCUCUACCACGCCGAUUUUGCUCCGUGCAUGGGUCCAUUUAUUUUUGAAAUCUCAAUUUAGAUUCUUGCAUUGUUCGUUCAAUGUUUAAUUCGUUAUCCUAGAUUUAUUUUUUAUGCUUUUAAAGUUUUUUUAUCAUUGUUUUCUCGCAGGAAAAUACCUCUUACCCCAAAUUACCGGAGAAGCUGAAUACUACUAAAAGCAAGAGAUGUCGUCUGGAUGCUAUCUCAGUAAACCCUCUCAGCCCUACCUUUUCUAGUGACCAUCAACAAAUUGUGGAACUUGGAAAGGACCCUAUUGCAGAGGAAGUAGUAGCUGUUGAGAAAACAAUAACAACUGGUAAACCAAAGGCACAAAAUUGUGUCAUAUUCUACAGUUGCAUUGCGGUGUAGGGUUAUGCCUCCUCCUUGCAUUAGGAACCCCUAUUUGAAAGAUGUUUCAGAAAAGGAGGCAAAUCCCUUUGGAAACCAAAGAUCAAAAUGUGCUGGUAUAGUUUUGGCCUCUUCCCUGCAUUUACUGGUGGUGAUGGAUUUUCACGCUAUCGACUGACUUUCACGAAAUUGAGGUAGUAUGUUUCAAAAAGAAAUUCCAACUGAAAUUGGAAUUACCUUGCUGCCAUUCAACUUUCUGAUUUGAUGUAUAAUUUUCCCUUUUCUUAUCAACAAAUUGGUCGAGGGAACUUUAGAUGAGUUUUCAAAGUAUUAAAGCGGAUAGAUGGUUGCUUGUAUGCUGUGAAACACAGCACCAGGCAGUUAUGCCAGGAAAUAGAAAGGAGAAAAGCUUUGGCAGCCUCAGGUUCCCAUGAGAACAUUGUGGGUUACUAUUCUUCAUGGUUUGAAAAUAAACAGCUGUACAUUCAUAUGGAGCUAUAUGAUCACAUCAUAUCCAUAAAAAAUUGCUCUGCAUUAAUACCAGGUCAUGAUGGACCCAGAAUUAGUAGAGAACCCGAUUUUUGGCAGAGCCUAAAGAACAGCCAAAAUUUGAUAAACCACGACUGUUUUUUGUUUGUUGGUUGGACCAUCCUAUAUGUAAGAUUGAUCUUGAUCACAACAUGGUCAAUUUGGUGCAAUGAUUUUUUUGGAUAUCGGCACCAGAUUUUUUGUCAAGCAUGGUGCAAGUAGUGUAAAUGCAUUUCAAUUUUGGUUGUGAUGGUUUUAUAUUGCAUAAAUCAUUAUGUCCGUAUGAAUUUGUUAUAAUUUGGCAACUGACC